AUUAGAUUUUUUUAACCUAACCUUAAACCUAACCCUAACCUUAAAUUAAGACCAAAAGGAGAUUUUUGUAGGCAAUUUUGACUUUGUGGCCAUGUUAUCUUGUGGAAACUGGCGUAGCUGGAAAAGGAUUGGGACUGAUGGUUGAAGUUACGGUAAAGAUCAACAUGAGGUCAUGGGAGCCCAGUACCAUUUUUGAAGUUUCAUGGGCAUGUUCAAUAGCAAGCGGUAAAUUGCGCGUGCCGCUUAGGCCACCGACUCGCUUGUGGGUGUGCUGGCAGCAGGUUCGAUUGUGGGUGAAGAUUUCAUCAUAGUAAGUAGGCUAGAUAACAGCCAUGGAGGAGGGUGAAAGGAUAGCAGCCACAACUGUCAACGUGAGAGAGUAGGCUAUUCUGGAUACGGCAGAUACAGAGAGCUGUGAAAGCCUGUCUGCAUAUGAAGAGGUCCCAAUGAAGAGCAGUGGUUUUCGGUCCUGUUCCUGGGGACUCAAAGGGGGGCACAUUUUGGUUUUUGCCUUAGCACUGCACAGCUGAUUUCAAAUGAUCAACUCAUCAUCUAUUUCAAGUGAUAUGUAUGUAUUCAUUUGUGAUGCUGUCCUUGAGAUGAUCCUGUUUUGUCACAUGCUACACAUGCAUAUAUGUGUGCCCUUGCAUCUAUCAAUCCAAUGUUAUCAUGAUUUGUUACCUGGGGCGGAAGUUAGCCUAGUGGUUAGAGCAUUGAACUAGUAACCGAAAGGUUGCAAGAUCAAAUCACCGAGCUGACAAGGUAAAAAUCUGUUGUUCUGCCCCUGAACAAGGCAGUUUUAAAUUAACCCACUGUUCCUAGGCCUUCAUUGAAAAUAAGAAUUUGAUCAUAACUGAAUUGCCUAGUUAUUUUUUAAAUCAGUGAUAUUAUACUUUUUCUACAAUCCACAAUGACCUGGUGAUGUAAAAGUCUAAUAAUUACAUUGUAUUCCAUAUUCCUUCAGAUACCUUGUAACUGGAGAUUCCUUCAAAACGAUUGCCUACAGUUAACGUGUAGGGCACUGCAAGGUUUGGUGAUCAGGGCCAUCUGGGAAUGCCUCCUCAAAUCAAAUCAAAUCAAAGUUGAUUUGUCACAUGCGCCGAAUACAACAGGUGUAAACCUUACAGUAAAAUGCUUACUUACAUGCUUUAACCAAUGGUGCCAAAAAAAUGUGUGUGUGUGUGUGUGUGUGUAGGUAAGUAAAGAAAUAAAACAACAGUAGAAAGACAUUUGAAAAAAAGAGUAGCAAGGCUAUAUACAGACACCUGUUAGUCAGGCUUAUUGAGGUAGUAUGUACAUGUAGGUAUCGUUAAAGUGACUGUGCAUAUAUGAUGAACAGAGAGUAGCAGAAGCGUAAAAAGAGGGGUUGGCGGGUGGUGGGACACAAUGCAGAUAGCCCGGUUAGCCAAUGUGCGGGAGCACUGGUUGGUAAGGCCAAUUUAAGUAGCAUGUACAUGAAUGUAUAGUUAAAGUGACUAGCAUAUAAGAUAAACAGAGAGUAGCAGCAGCAUAAAAGAGGGGUUGGGGGUGGCACACAAUGCAAAUAGUCCUGUUCAGGAGUCUUAUGGCUUGGGGGUAAAAACUGUUGAGAAGCCUUUUUGUCCUAGACUUGGCACUCCGGUACCGCUUGCCAUGCGGUAGUAGAGAGAACAGUCUAUAACUGGGGUGGCUGGGGUCUUUGACAAUUUUUAGGGCCUUCCUCUGACACCGCCUGGUGUAGAGGUCUUGGAUGGCAGGCAGCUUUGCCCCAGUGAUGUACUGGGCCGUACGCACUACCCUCUGAAGUGCCUUGCGGCCGAGCAAUUGCUGUACCAGGCAGUGAUGCAACCGGAUGCUCUCGAUGUUGCAGCUGUAGAACCUUUUGAGGAUCUCAGGACACAUGCCAAAUUUUUUUCGUUUCCUGAGGGGGAAUAGGCUUUGUCGUGCCCUCUUUACGACUGUCUUGGUGUGUUUGGACCAACCUAGUUUGUUAUAAAAUAAAAUCAUUUACCUUUGAAGAACUUCAGAUGUUUUCAAUGAGGAGACUCUCAGUUAGAUAGCAAAUGCUCAGUUUUUCCUGAAAGAUUAUUUGUUUAGGAGAAAUCGCUCCGUUUGGUGCGUCACGUUUGGCUACCAAAAAAAACCGAAAAAUCAGUCAUCAAAACGCAGAACUUUUUUCCAAAUUAACUCCAUAAUAUCAACUGAAACAUGGUAAACGUUGUUUAGAAUCAAUCCUCAAGGUGUUUUUCACAUAUCUCUUCAUGAUAUAUCGUUCGUUGAAAGCCUCCUCUCUCCUCUCAAUCACUGGAUGACUGCGUGCAGCUUGUAGAUUACGCACCAAUUUAGACAAAGGACACCGGGCGGACCCCUGGUAAAUGUAGUCUCUUAUGGCCAAUCUUCCAAUGAUAUGCCUACAAAUACGUCACAAUGCUGC
ensembl:lncRNA